rnacentral:rRNA from 1 species
ACGGGGGGGGCAAGCGUUGUUCGGAAUUACUGGGCGUAAAGGGCGUGUAGGUGGCCAACUAAGUCCGACGUGAAAUCCCCAGGCUUAACCUGGGAACUGCGUCGGAUACUGGAUGGCUUGAAUUCGGGAGAGGGAUGCAGAAUUCCAGGUGUAGCGGUGAAAUGCGUAGAUAUCGGGAGGAACACCAGUGGCGAAGGCGACUUUCUGGCCUGUUCUUGACGCUGAGGCGCGAAAGCUAGGGUAGCAAACGGGA